rnacentral:rRNA from 1 species
UACGUAGGUGGCAAGCGUUGUCCGGAUUUACUGGGCGUAAAGAGCGCGCAGGCGGUCGUUUAAGUCGAAUGUGAAAGCCCCCGGCUCAACUGGGGAGGGUCAUUCGAUACUGAUCGACUUGAAGGCAGGAGAGGGAAGUGGAAUUCCGGGUGUAGUGGUGAAAUGCGUAGAUAUCGGGAAGGAAUACCUGUGGCGAAGGCGGCCUACUGGGCCGGACCUGGACGCUGAGACGCGAAGGCGUGGGGAGCGAACGGG